rnacentral:rRNA from 1 species
UACGGAGGGUGCAAGCGUUAUCCGGAUUCACUGGGUUUAAAGGGUGCGUAGGAGGGCAGGUAAGUCAGUGGUGAAAUCCCCGAGCUUAACUUGGGAACUGCCGUUGAUACUAUCUGUCUUGAAUACCGUGGAGGUGAGCGGAAUAUGUCAUGUAGCGGUGAAAUGCUUAGAUAUGACACAGAACACCGAGUGCGAAGGCAGCUCACUAAAUUGUAACUGACGCUGAGGCACGAAAGCGUGGGGAUCAAACAGG